rnacentral:rRNA from 1 species
GACGAACGCUGGCGGCGUGCUUAACACAUGCAAGUCGAACGGAAAGGCCCUGCUCUUGUGGGGUGCUCGAGUGGCGAACGGGGGAGUAACACGUGAGUAACCUGCCCUUGACUUUGGGAUAACUUCAGGAAACUGGGGCUAAUACCGGAGAGGAGCUCCUGCUGCACGGGGGGGGUUGGAAAGUUUCGGCGGUUGGGGAUGGACUCGCGGCUUACGAGCUUGAUUGUCGGGUAGUGGCUGACCAAGGCUUUGACGGGUAGCCGGCCUGAGAGGGUGACCGGCCACCUUGGGCCUGAGAUACGGCCCAGACUCCUACGGGACGCAGCAGUCGGGAAUAUUGCACAAUGGGCGGACGCCUGAUGCAGCAACGCCGCGUGCGGGAUGCCGGCCUUCGGGUUGUAAACCGCUUUCGACUGUGACGAAGCGUGAGUGACGGUAAUGGGUCAAGAAGCACCGGCUAACUACGUG